AGAGUUUGAUCCUGGCUCAGAUUGAACGCUGGCGGCAGGCCUAACACAUGCAAGUCGAGCGGAUGAGAAGAGCUUGCUCUUCGAUUCAGCGGCGGACGGGUGAGUAAUACCUAGGAAUCUGCCUGGUAGUGGGGGACAACGUUUCGAAAGGAACGCUAAUACCGCAUACGUCCUACGGGAGAAAGCAGGGGACCUUCGGGCCUUGCGCUAUCAGAUGAGCCUAGGUCGGAUUAGCUAGUUGGUGAGGUAAUGGCUCACCAAGGCUACGAUCCGUAACUGGUCUGAGAGGAUGAUCAGUCACACUGGAACUGAGACACGGUCCAGACUCCCACGGGAGGCAGCAGUGGGGAAUAUUGGACAAUGGGCGAAAGCCUGAUCCAGCCAUGCCGCGUGUGUGAAGAAGGUCUUCNGANUGUAAAGCACUUACACUNAGGUGCGAAAGCGUGGGGAGCAAACNNGAUUAGAUACCCUGGUANNNCACGCNNUAAACGAUGUCAACUAGCCGUUGGANUCCUUGAGAUUUUAGUGGCGCAGCUAACGCAUUAAGUUGACCGCCUGGGGAGUACGGCCGCAAGGUUAAAACUCAAAUGAAUUGACGGGGGCCCGCACAAGCGGUGGAGCAUGUGGUUUAAUUNGAAGCAACGCGAAGAACCUUACCAGGCCUUGACAUCCAAUGAACUUUCCAGAGAUGGAUUGGUGCCUUCGGGAACAUUGAGACAGGUGCUGCAUGGCUGUCGUCAGCUUGUGUCGUGAGAUGUUGGGUUAAGUCCCGUAACGAGCGCAACCCUUGUCCUUAGUUACCAGCACGUUAUGGUGGGCACUCUAAGGAGACUGCCGGUGACAAACCGGAGGAAGGUGGGGAUGACGUCAAGUCAUCAUGGCCCUUACGGCCUGGGCUACACACGUGCUACAAUGGUCGGUACAGAGGGUCGCCAAGCCGCGAGGUGGAGCUAAUCUCACAAAACCGAUCGUAGUCCGGAUCGCAGUCUGCAACUCGACUGCGUGAAGUCGGAAUCGCUAGUAAUCGCGAAUCAGAAUGUCGCGGUGAAUACGUUCCCGGGCCUUGUACACACCGCCCGUCACACCAUGGGAGUGGGUUGCACCAGAAGUAGCUAGUCUAACCUUCGGGAGGACGGUUACCACGGUGUGAUUCAUGACUGGGGUGAAGUCGUAACAAGGUAACC
rnacentral:rRNA from 1 species